CCAUGCCGCGUGGAGGAAGACGGCCCUACGGGUUGUAAACUCCUUUAGCACGGGAAUAAAGGCCGCCACGCGUGGCGGGUUGAAGGUACCGUGAGAAUAAGCAUCGGCUAACUCCGUGCCAGCAGCCGCGGUAAUACGGAGGAUGCAGGCGUUAUCCGGAUUUAUUAGGUUUAAAGGGUGCGUAGGCGGCCGGGUAAGUCAGCGUUGAAAGUCUGCGGCUCAACCGUAGAACUGGCAUUGAUACUGUCCGGCUUGGAUGCGGUGGAAGUAGGCGGAAUGUGCAGUGUAGCGGUGAAAUGCUUAGAUAUUGCACAGAACACCGAUUGCGAAGGCAGCUUACUAUACCGUUAUUGACGCUGAGGCACGAAAGCGCGGGUAUCGAACAGGAUUAGAUACCCUGGUAGUCCGCGCAGUAAACGAUGAUCACUGGUUGUUCGCGAUAGACAGUGAGCGACUGAGCGAAAGCAUUAAGUGAUCCACCUGGGGAGUACGUUCGCAAGAAUGAAACUCAAAGGAAUUGACGG
rnacentral:rRNA from 1 species